UCUUGUGUCAGAUGAAAUAUCUGUGGUAACUCUUUAGGUAUUCCUUCGAACAAGAUGCAAAAAGAACUGAAAAUGACAGCCCUUCUACGAGUGAUUAGCCUGGUCGUGAUUAGCGUGGUGGUGAUUAUUAUCCCACCGUGCGGGGCUGCACUUGGACGAGGAAAGGCUUAGAAAUCAAGCCUUAACGAACUAAAGACCCCCGCACCCGAAAGGUCCGGGGGUUUUUUAUGACUAAAAACUUAAACGAGGAGCAGAGAAUGACAAAUAGCACAAAUUCUGUUUCUCCCGAUUAU
rfam:Microbacterium sp. STBG005 Ion018_assembly_c5382, whole genome shotgun sequence.